rnacentral:rRNA from 1 species
ACGUAGGGUGCGAGCGUUAAUCGGGAUUACUGGGCGUAAAGCGUGCGCAGGCGGUUUUGUAAGACAGUGGUGAAAUCCCCGGGCUCAACCCGGGAACUGCAUUUGAUACUGCCAGUCUGGAGUGCGGUAGAGGGGGAUGGAAUUCCCGGUGUAGAGGUGAAAUGCGUAGAUAUCGGGAGGAACACCAGAGGCGAAGGCGACCCCCUGGGCCUUUACUGACGCUGAGGUGCGAAAGCGUGGGGAGCAAACAG